rnacentral:rRNA from 1 species
GGAAGGGGUGUAUUUAUUAGAUAAAAAACCAACGCCCUUCGGGGCUCCUUGGUGAAUCAUAAUAACUUAACGAAUCGCAUGGCCUUGCGCCGGCGAUGGUUCAUUCAAAUUUCUGCCCUAUCAACUUUCGAUGGUAGGAUAGUGGCCUACCAUGGUGGCAACGGGUAACGGGGAAUUAGGGUUCGAUUCCGGAGAGGGAGCCUGAGAAACGGCUACCACAUCCAAGGAAGGCAGCAGGCGCGCAAAUUACCCAAUCCCGAUACGGGGAGGUAGUGACAAUAAAUACUGAUACGGGGCUCUUUUGGGUCUCGUAAUUGGAAUGAGAACAAUUUAAAUCCCUUAACGAGGAACAAUUGGAGGGCAAGUCUGGUGCCAGCAGCCGCGGUAAUUCCAGCUCCAAUAGCGUAUAUUAAAGUUGUUGCAGUUAAAAAGCUCGUAGUUGAACCUUGGGUCUGGCUGGCCGGUCCGCCUCACCGCGAGUACUGGUCCGGCUGGACCUUUCCUUCUGGGGAACCCCAUGGCCUUCACUGGCUGUGGGGGGAACCAGGACUUUUACA